rnacentral:rRNA from 1 species
AAAGAAACCAACAGGGAUUGCCUUAGUAACGGCGAGUGAAGCGGCAAAAGCUCAAAUUUGAAAUCUGGCACCUUCGGUGUCCGAGUUGUAAUUUGAAGAAGGUAACUUUGGAGUUGGCUCUUGUCUAUGUUCCUUGGAACAGGACGUCACAGAGGGUGAGAAUCCCGUGCGAUGAGAUGCCCAAUUCUAUGUAAAGUGCUUUCGAAGAGUCGAGUUGUUUGGGAAUGCAGCUCUAAGUGGGUGGUAAAUUCCAUCUAAAGCUAAAUAUUGGCGAGAGACCGAUAGCGAACAAGUACAGUGAUGGAAAGAUGAAAAGAACUUUGAAAAGAGAGUGAAAAAGUACGUGAAAUUGUUGAAAGGGAAGGGCUUGAGAUCAGACUUGGUAUUUUGCGAUCCUUUCCUUCUUGGUUGGGUUCCUCGCAGCUUACUGGGCCAGCAUCGGUUUGGAUGGUAGGAUAAUGACUAAGGAAUGUGGCUCUACUUCGGUGGAGUGUUAUAGCCUUGGUUGAUACUGCCUGUCUAGACCGAGGACUGCGUCUUUUGACUAGGAUGUUGGCAUAAUGAUCUUAAGCCACCCG